rnacentral:lncRNA from 1 species
AUUUUUCUUGUUGUUAUUGUUGUUGUUAUUGUUUCCGUUGUUGAUAUUGUUCUUGUUCUUGUUGUUGUUGAUAUUGUUCUUGUUGUUGUUGUUGAUAUUGUUCUUGUUGUUGUUGUUGUUGUUGUUUUUCUUGUUGUUAUUGUUGUUGUUUCCGUUAUUGAUGUUGUUGUUGUUUCUAUCGUUGACAUUGUUAUUGUUGUUGUGGUUUUUGAGACUUAAGGUAUAA